rnacentral:rRNA from 1 species
UACGUAGGGUGCGAGCGUUAAUCGGAAUUACUGGGCGUAAAGCGUGCGCAGGCGGUUAUGUAAGACAGGUGUGAAAUCCCCGGGCUUAACCUGGGAACUGCAUUUGUGACUGCAUAGCUAGAGUACGGUAGAGGGGGAUGGAAUUCCGCGUGUAGCAGUGAAAUGCGCAGAUAUCGGGAGGAACACCGGUGGCGAAGGCGGUUCUCUGGGCCUGACCUGACGCUGAGGAGCGAAAGCGUGGGGAGCGAACAGG